AUUGAACGCUGGCGGCAUGCCUUACACAUGCAAGUCGAACGGCAGCGCGGCCUUCGGUCUGGCGGCGAGUGGCGAACGGGUGAGUAAUACAUCGGAACGUACCCUGUUGUGGGGGAUAACUAGUCGAAAGAUUAGCUAAUACCGCAUACGACCUUAGGGUGAAAGUGGGGGACCGCAAGGCCUCACGCAGCAGGAGCGGCCGAUGUCUGAUUAGCUAGUUGGUGGGGUAAAGGCCCACCAAGGCGACGAUCAGUAGCUAGUCUGAGAGGGCGAUCAGCCACACUGGGACUGAGACGCGGCCCAGACUCCUACGGGAGGCAGCAGUGGGGAAUUUUGGACAAUGGGGGCAACCCUGAUCCAGCAAUGCCGCGUGUGUGAAGAAGGCCUUCGGGUUGUAAAGCACUUUUGUCCGGAAAGAAAUCGCGCUGGUUAAUACCUGGCGUGGAUGACGGUACCGGAAGAAUAAGCACCGGCUAACUACGUG
rnacentral:rRNA from 1 species